GCCUGGGUGGCUCAGUUGGUUAAGCGUCUGACUUCAGCUCAGAUCAUGAUCUCACAGUUUGUAAGUUCAAUCCCUGCAUCCGGCU
rnacentral:tRNA from 1 species